rnacentral:rRNA from 1 species
GUGGGGAAUCUUGCGCAAUGGGCGAAAGCCUGACGCAGCCAUGCCGCGUGGAUGAUGAAGGUCUUAGGAUUGUAAAAUCCUUUCACCGGUGAAGAUAAUGACUGUAGCCGGAGAAGAAGCCCCGGCUAACUUCGUGCCAGCAGCCGCGGUAAUACGAAGGGGGCUAGCGUUGCUCGGAUUUACUGGGCGUAAAGGGCGCGUAGGCGGACAUUUAAGUCAGGGGUGAAAUCCCGGGGCUCAACCUCGGAACUGCCUUUGAUACUGGGUGUCUUGAGUAUGAGAGAGGUGUGUGGAACUCCGAGUGUAGAGGUGAAAUUCGUAGAUAUUCGGAAGAACACCAGUGGCGAAGGCGACACACUGGCUCAUUACUGACGCUGAGGCGCGAAAGCGUGGGGAGCAAACAGGAUUAGAAACCCGCGUAGUCC